CCAAUUCGUGGUAAGCUUGGGUCAUAGAGACUCAUAGGUGUUAUAAAGACUCGCUGGUGUUUGUCUCCUUGAGGCAUACGGCUUUAACCAAAACUCUCAAAGUUUGACCUCAAAUCAGGUAGGAGUACCCGCUGAACUUAAGCAUAUCAAUAAGCCGGAGGAAAAGAAACCAACCGGGAUUGCCUUAGUAACGGCGAGUGAAGCGGCAAAAGCUCAAAUUUGAAAUCUGGCGUCUUCGACGUCCGAGUUGUAAUUUGAAGAAGGCGACUUUGUAGCUGGUCCUUGUCUAUGUUCCUUGGAACAGGACGUCAUAGAGGGUGAGAAUCCCGUGUGGCGAGGAUCCCAGUUAUUUGUAAAGUGCUUUCGACGAGUCGAGUUGUUUGGGAAUGCAGCUCUAAGUGGGUGGUAAAUUCCAUCUAAAGCUAAAUAUUGGCGAGAGACCGAUAGCGAACAAGUACAGUGAUGGAAAGAUGAAAAGAACUUUGAAAAGAGAGUGAAAAAGUACGUGAAAUUGUUGAAAGGGAAGGGCAUUUGAUCAGACAUGGCGUUUGCUUCGGCUUUCGCUGGGCCAGCAUCAGUUUUAGCGGUUGGAUAAAUCCUCGGGAAUGUGGCUCUGCUUCGGUAGAGUGUUAUAGCCCGUGGGAAUACAGCCAGCUGGGACUGAGGAUUGCGACUUUUGUCAAGGAUGCUGGCGUAAUGGUUAAUGCCGCCCGUCUUGAAACACGGACCAAGGAGUCUAACGUCUAUGCGAGUGUUUGGGUGUAAAACCCGUACGCGUAAUGAAAGUGAACGUAGGUG
rnacentral:rRNA from 1 species